AACGCUGGCGGCAUGCCUAAUACAUGCAAGUCGAACGCUGAAGCACUCUGCUUGCAGAGUGCGGAUGAGUGGCGAACGGGUGAGUAACACGUGGGAAAUCUGCCUAGGAGUGGGGGAUAACAUUCGGAAACGGAUGCUAAUACCGCAUANCUUUUUGAACCGCAUGGUUCUUAAACGAAAGACGGCUUCGGCUGUCGCUCUUAGAUGAGCCUGCGGCGUAUUAGCUAGUUGGUGAGGUAAUGGCUUACCAAGGCAACGAUGCGUAGCCGACCUGAGAGGAUGAACGGCCACAUUGGGACUGAGACACGGCCCAGACUCCUACGGGAGGCAGCAGUGGGGAAUCUUCCGCAAUGGACGAAAGUCUGACGGAGCAACGCCGCGUGAACGAUGACGGCCUUCGGGUUGUAAAGUUCUGUUAUACGGGACGAAUGGCGUAGCGGUCAAUACCCGUUACGAGUGACGGUACCGUAAGAGAAAGCCACGGCUAACUACGUG
rnacentral:rRNA from 1 species